GACAGAGGGGGCAAGCGUUGCUCGGAAUUACUGGGCGUAAAGGGCGCGCAGGCGGCUGCUCAAGUCAGGCGUGAAAGGCCUGGGCUCAACCCGGGAAUUGCGCUUGAGACUGGGCUGGCUUGAGUGCGGGAGAGGAUGGUGGAAUUCCCAGUGUAGAGGUGAAAUGCGUAGAUAUCUGGAGGAACACCGGUGGCGAAGGCGGCAUCCUGGACCAACACUGACACUGAGGAGCGAAAGCCAGGGGAGCAAACGGG
rnacentral:rRNA from 1 species